AAAUAUUUCUGAAUUCUCUUGUGAUAGGUCAAAAAAUUGAGGAAGACAUAAUUAGCAGCUGAAGAAUGACUCAGAUCAUCAGUAGUGAAUAAGAAUGAUUAGGGGGAAAUAGAGACAGUUUAAUCAGUGUGUGACCAAAAUCAAACAGAGUAAACUGUGUCAUCAUGGAGAUCUGCCCAGGAAAUCCCCAAAAUACAGAAGGAUCAGAAGUAGAUGGAAAUACUGUCAUAGAACGUCUCUCACAAGUGUGUUAUAAGAAUGACAGGGAAGCUACAGGUUACAACAGAUUUGUGAACUCAGCCAAGCACAGUGGUGGCAGGGCCUAGCUGCUACAAAGAAGACAUGUUUUAGACAAAUACUCAUGUGUAUGGGCAAAAAACUCGAGGACUGUAUUUGUGACUAAUUGUGUAACAGGGUAUUUUAGUUCCUGUUCUGUGGAAAGUGUAAAGCAUUCCAACAAAGGGUUUUAAUGUAGAUUUUUUUUGCACCCAUGCUUUGAUUGCUAAAUGUAAUAGUCAGAUCGUGACGCUGAAUAAAUGUCUUUUUCU
rnacentral:lncRNA from 1 species